GCAAUGGGGGAAACCCUGACGCAGCAACGACGCGUGAGUGAUGAAGGCUUUCGGGUCGUAAAGCUCUGUCUAGAGGGAAGAAAUGAUAAUCGGUUAAUACCCGGUUUUCUUGACGGUACCUCUGAAGGAAGCACCGGCUAACUCCGUGCCAGCAGCCGCGGUAAUACGGAGGGUGCAAGCGUUGUUCGGAUUUAUUGGGCGUCAAGCGCGUGUAGGCGGUUUGUUAAGUCUGAUGUGAAAGCACCGGGCUCAACCUGGGAAGUGCAUUGGAAACUGGCAGACUGGAAUACGGGAGAUGGUAGGGGGAUUCCUAGUGUAGGAGUGAAAUCCGUAGAUAUUAAGCGGACCACCGGUGGCGAAGGCGGCUACAUGGACCGAUAUUGACGCUGAGACGCGAAAGCGUGGGGAGC
rnacentral:rRNA from 1 species